rnacentral:lncRNA from 1 species
CGCGGCGGAGGGAGGCGCGGCGCGGCGCGGCGCGGCGGGGGGGCGGGGGGCGCGGGGCGCGGGGCGCCGGCCGGGGAGGGGCCGCGGCGGGGGCUCUCGGGCCGGCCGGGGGGCUGGCGCUCGGCGGCCCCCACCCCCGGCGCGGGCUGCGGCGGAGGGCGGGGCGCGGCGCGGGGAGCGGAGCCGAGAGCGGGAGCGCAGGGAGGCUCUUUGUUCUGUAAUCCCAGUAAGAUUGCCAGCCAUUCGCCCCGGCCCUAAUCCCAGCCCCGCGCAACACCACCCUCCAUUGGCUGCCAUUUACAUACGGGAUUAGCCCGCCCGGCCCGCCCCGCGCCCCGGCCUGGGCACCGCGGGGGGAGCGCCGCGCCCCCGCCCCGCCCCCGGCGCCCCGAGCGCGCGCCGCCCCAGCGCCCGCCGCCAGGGGGGCCUGCGGGAGGGGCGCCCGCGGCCUCGGCGCCCCCUGGCUGCCCGGCGACGCCCCUCCGCCUCCCCAGCGCCCCGUCAGGGGCGGAUUAGGAAGCCGGGGCGCGGGGUUCCCGGGGCGCAGGGUCAAGGUCACUCAGCGGGCGCGGGGAGACACCCUGGAGCAGGGCCCGGCGCCCUGCGCGGCGGAGGCGGCGGCGGCGGCUGGAGAACCGAAGUCGUCGGCUGACUGGUCACUCCCACCUUGCCCAGGUUGGCUUCCGGUGGCCGGUCCAGGUCUCAGCCCCAGCUCGCCUCCUCCGAGAAGUCUUCCCAGAUCUCUGGCUUCCCCGAGCUCCUUCAUCCCCCGCUGCCCACGUUGCCCAAUGUCACCCAUCGUCCUCUUCUAUCAGGAUGCACUGGUCUCCCCUCUGGACCAUGGCUUCACCAGGGCAGCGCUGGGGUCCCCUUCUUUCCCGGGCUUCUUGCCUCCUAGUCCCACGUGGUGUGGCCUCGUGCAGGCCCGGGCAAACAGGACCAGCCGUCCUCGAACACCUGCAUUUCCAGCACAUGGCAGGACACUCCACACGCACUGGACGUGUGGAUGAGCGACAGUCCCGAAGGGCAGGGACCGCUCUGUCUCCUCUCUUUGGCCCACACCUCCUACCCCAGGAUUUCCUUGUGUGGGGAACACUGUCGGUGUUCCUUCCAUAAGGCGCUCGGGGGGUUCAGUCAGUUUGCUUCUUGUCUGCAAAAGGAAAACCCACGGGUAUUUUACAGAACAUCGGCUACGUGCCGGGUGCAGUGACAGACCCUGGGACCCGCAGAGCAGAUCUCACCACCCCUGUCUUCUUGGAGCCCAGCGCUAGUUGGAGAGACAGGCACACCUAGGAAUAAAUACCAGGUCAUUAGAAAACGAAAGAGGAGA